rnacentral:rRNA from 1 species
UAUGCCAAGUCGUAAACUUUAACUUACACCCCCUCCACUCGCCAGGAAACUACGAGCUAAGCUUAAAACCCAAAGGACUUGACGGUGCCCCACAUCCCCCUAGAGGAGCCUGUCCCGUAAUUGAUGACCCCCGCUAAACCUCACCAUUCUUAGCCUAUCAGCCUGUAUACUUCCGUCGUCAGCUAACCACAUGAGUGAAGCUCAGUAAGCCCAAUGGUUAUCCACCAAAACGUCAGGUCAAGGUGCAGCAAAUAGAAUGGGAUCAGAUGGGCUACACUUUCUAAUAUAGAAAAUAACGAAAGACUACGUGAAACCUCAGUCAGAAGGUGGAUUUAGAAGUAAAAAGAAAUCAGAGAGUUCUUUUUAACCUGGUACUGGGGUGUGUACACACCGCCCCGUCACCCUCA